GAUGAACGCUGGCGGCGUGCCUAAUACAUGCAAGUCGAGCGAACGGACGAGAAGCUUGCUUCUCUGAUGUUAGCGGCGGACGGGUGAGUAACACGUGGAUAACCUACCUAUAAGACUGGGAUAACUUCGGGAAACCGGAGCUAAUACCGGAUAAUAUUUUGAACCGCAUGGUUCAAAAGUGAAAGACGGUCUUGCUGUCACUUAUAGAUGGAUCCGCGCUGCAUUAGCUAGUUGGUAAGGUAACGGCUUACCAAGGCAACGAUGCAUAGCCGACCUGAGAGGGUGAUCGGCCACACGGGAACGGAGACACGGUCCAGACUCCUACGGGAGGCAGCAGUAGGGAAUCUUACGCAAUGGGCGAAAGCCUGACGGAGCAACGCCGCGUGAGUGAUGAAGGUCUUCGGAUCGUAAAACUCUGUUAUUAGGGAAGAACAUAUGUGUAAGUAACUGUGCACAUCUUGACGGUACCUAAUCAGAAAGCCACGGCUAACUACGUG
rnacentral:rRNA from 1 species